AGAGUUUGAUUAUGGCUCAGGAUGAACGCUGGCGGCGUGCUUAACACAUGCAAGUCGAACGGGCUCAUAUUGAAACCUAGUGAUGUAUGAGUUAGUGGCGGACGGGUGAGUAACGCGUGGAGAACCUGCCGUAUACUGGGGGAUAACACUUAGAAAUAGGUGCUAAUACCGCAUAAGCGCACAGCUUCGCAUGAAGCAGUGUGAAAAACUCCGGUGGUAUACGAUGGAUCCGCGUCUGAUUAGCUGGUUGGCGGGGUAACAGCCCACCAAGGCGACGAUCAGUAGCCGGCCUGAGAGGGUGAACGGCCACAUUGGGACUGAGACACGGCCCAAACUCCUACGGGAGGCAGCAGUGGGGAAUAUUGCACAAUGGGGGAAACCCUGAUGCAGCGACGCCGCGUGAGUGAAGAAGUAUUUCGGUAUGUAAAGCUCUAUCAGCAGGGAAGAAAAUGACGGUACCUGACUAAGAAGCCCCGGCUAACUACGUGCCAGCAGCCGCGGUAAUACGUAGGGGGCAAGCGUUAUCCGGAUUUACUGGGUGUAAAGGGAGCGUAAACGGCAGCGCAAGUCUGAAGUGAAAUCCCAUGGCUUAACCAUGGAACUGCUUUGGAAACUGUG
rnacentral:rRNA from 1 species